rnacentral:rRNA from 1 species
GAUGAACGCUGGCGGCGUGCCUAACACAUGCAAGUCGAGCGGAAGGACGAUGAGCUUGUGUCUUUACUGUUGGCGGGGGGCGGGUGUGUAACGAGUGGAUCAGCUCCUUCUAUUUCGGGGAUAAUUACGGGAGACAGGAGCUUAUACUAGCUAAUAUUUUGAACCGGUUGGUUCAGAAGUUCUUGACGGCUUUGCCGUCUCUAUUAGAUGAUUCCGCGCUGGAUUGGCUAGUUGGUAAGGUAACAGCUUACCAAGGCUACGUUGCAUAGCAGACCUGAGAGGAUGAUCGGCCACACUGGAACUGAGACACGGUCCAGACUCCUACGGGAGGCAGCAGUGGGGAAUCUUCGGCAAUGGGCGAAAGCCUGACACAGCAACGCCGCGUGGGUGAUGAAGGCCUUCGGAUCGUAAAACCCUGUUGUUAGGGAAGAACAGAUGUAUAAUAAACUGUGGACGUCUUGACGGUACCUAAUCAAAAAGCCCCGGCUAACUACGUG